UCCUUUGUGGUGAAAUGGUAUACACAUAUGAUUCAAAAUCAUACGCCUAAGGCUUGCCGGUUCGAGUCCGGUCAAAGGUA
rnacentral:tRNA from 1 species